rnacentral:rRNA from 1 species
UACGGGGGGAGCAAGCGUUGUUCGGAUUUACUGGGCGUAAAGGGCGCGUAGGCGGCCAGCACAAGUCAGUUGUGAAAUCUCCGAGCUUAACUCGGAAAGGUCAACUGAUACUGUGCGGCUAGAGUGCGGAAGGGGCAACUGGAAUUCUUGGUGUAGCGGUGAAAUGCGUAGAUAUCAGGAAGAACACCCGUGGCUAAGGCGGUUCUCUAGUACGGUACUGACGCUGAGACGCGAAAGCGUGGGGAGCGAACAGG